rnacentral:lncRNA from 1 species
GUCCUCCAGAGAGUUAGCCUGACCCGAGCCUGGAAGAAGAGAUGACAAGCGUUGAGAAAGAACAAAUCCCAGUGCCUAGAAGAGGCUAAGUCAGUCUAUCACAAGUGCAGACGCGUCACAGAAACGGAAGAACGCUACAAGGAGAGCGGGCUCCCAUGCAUGCUGUCGAGACCACGUUGAGCAAGACCACCCGGUGAAGGCAGCUCAGCAAUUCCAGAAGAGGCCCCCACAGCAGCAUUCCAGCGCAAACUGUUGGUGUAGGCCAGAGUACCUUUGAAGGCAGAGUGAGCGUGAGACCCUCCAAAUCCUGGCCUGAUUUGGGGCUGUCAGAGGAGAAAUCCUACCCAGAGAGCUGGCUGUGUGUGCAUUCAUCCAGGAUCGGUGGAGCACCUUCAGUUCAGGUCAGUUCAGUCGCUCAGUCCUGUCCGACUCUUUGUGACCCCACGGACUGCAGCACACCAGGCCUCCCUGUCCAUCACCAACUCCCGGAGUUUACUCAAACUCAUGUCCAUUGUGUCAGUGAUGCCAUCCGACCAUCUCAUCCUCUGUUGUCCCCCUCUCCUCCCGCCUUCAAUCUUUCCCAGCAUCAGGGUCUUUUCUAAUGAGUCAGUUCUUCGAAUCAGAUGGCCAAAGUAUUGGAGCUUCAUCAUCCUAGAGCAAUCUGAUCCACCGAGAGAAAUCAACCUGUCUUUAAAAAGAUCUGAGUCACGGCACCAGAACGUUAGCGGUAUAGAGUGCGGAGACCCCUCCUGUGGACCUCGGUUCCUGGUAAGGAGGCAAAGAAGAACCUGAGGGCUUACCCACUGCCAGAGAGUUUAUCGAAGACAAGGAAAAAGCAAACAGAGAGAAGACCUCAAGAGAGAGGUGGGCCAGACCAAGGAAGGCAAUGGUCCGGAAGGCUGG